UACACUCCUACGGGAGGCAGCAGUGGGGAAUAUUGCACAAUGGGCGCAAGCCUGAUGCAGCCAUGCCGCGUGUAUGAAGAAGGCCUUCGGGUUGUAAAGUACUUUCAGCGGGGAGGAAGGCAAUACGGUUAAUAACCGUGUUGAUUGACGUUACCCGCAGAAGAAGCACCGGCUAACUCCGUGCCAGCAGCCGCGGUAAUACGGAGGGUGCAAGCGUUAAUCGGAAUUACUGGGCGUAAAGCGCACGCAGGCGGUCUGUCAAGUCGGAUGUGAAAUCCCCGGGCUCAACCUGGGAACUGCAUUCGAAACUGGCAGGCUUGAGUCUUGUAGAGGGGGGUAGAAUUCCAGGUGUAGCGGUGAAAUGCGUAGAGAUCUGGAGGAAUACCGGUGGCGAAGGCGGCCCCCUGGACAAAGACUGACGCUCAGGUGCGAAAGCGUGGGGAGCAAACAGGAUUAGAAACCCCAGUAGUCCCAUG
rnacentral:rRNA from 1 species